rfam:Myotis davidii contig196188, whole genome shotgun sequence.
GGCGGUUCUCGGGUGACGCACCCUGAAUUGGGCUCCCUCCUCUCUGGUUCUGGGUGCGUCAACCGAGAACCAGCU